UACGGAGGGGGCAAGCGUUAUUCGGAAUUAUUGGGCGUAAAGGGCGCGUAGGCGGCUAGAUGUGUCAAAGGUGAAAUCCCUCGGCUCAACUGAGGAACUGCCUUUGAAACUGUCUGGCUUGAGGCCGGGAGAGGGUAGCGGAAUUCCCAGUGUAGCGGUGAAAUGCGUAGAUAUUGGGAGGAACACCAGUGGCGAAGGCAGCUCGCUGGGACGUGACUGACGCUGAGACGCGAAAGCGUGGGGAGCAAACAGG
rnacentral:rRNA from 1 species